UGGGGAAUUUUGGACAAUGGGCGAAAGCCUGAUCCAGCAAUGCCGCGUGUGUGAAGAAGGCCUUCGGGUUGUAAAGCACUUUUGUCCGGAAAGAAAUCCUUGGCUCUAAUACAGUCGGGGGAUGACGGUACCGGAAGAAUAAGCACCGGCUAACUACGUGCCAGCAGCCGCGGUAACACGUAGGGUGCAAGCGUUAAUCGGAAUUACUGGGCGUAAAGCGUGCGCAGGCGGUUUGCUAAGACCGAUGUGAAAUCCCCGGGCUCAACCUGGGAACUGCAUUGGUGACUGGCAGGCUAGAGUAUGGCAGAGGGGGGUAGAAUUCCACGUGUAGCAGUGAAAUGCGUAGAGAUGUGGAGGAAUACCGAUGGCGAAGGCAGCCCCCUGGGCCAAUACUGACGCUCAUGCACGAAAGCGUGGGGAGCAAACAGGAUUAGAUACCCUGGUAGUCCACGCCCUAAACGAUGUCAACUAGUUGUUGGGGAUUCAUUUCCUUAGUAACGUAGCUAACGCGUGAAGUUGACCGCCUGGGGAGUACGGUCGCAAGAUUAAAACUCAAAUGAAUUGACGGGGUCAUAGCUGUUUCCU
rnacentral:rRNA from 1 species